GCCCGUACCGUAAACCGACACAGGUGGGUGGGAUGAGUAUUCUAAGGCGCGUGGAAGAACUCUCUUUAAGGAACUCUGCAAAAUAGCACCGUAUCUUCGGUAUAAGGUGUGCCUAGCUUCGUUAAGAAUUUACUUCGUAAGCGAAGAAGGUUACAACAAAGAGUCCCUCCCGACUGUUUACCAUAAACACAGCACUCUGCUAACUCGUAAGAGGAUGUAUAGGGUGUGACGCCUGCCCGGUGCUCGAAGGUUAAUUGAUGAUGUUAGCUUACGCAAAGCAUCUGAUCGAAGCCCGAGUAAACGGCGGCCGUAACUAUAACGGUCCUAAGGUAGCGAAAUUCCUUGUCGAUUAAAUAUCGACCUGCAUGAAUGGCGUAACGAGAUGGGAGCUGUCUCGAAGAGGGAUCCAGUGAAAUUGUAGUGGAGGUGAAAAUUCCUCCUACCCGCGGCAAGACGGAAAGACCCCGUGGACCUUUACUACAGCUUGACACUGCUAUUGGGAUAAAAAUGUGCAGGAUAGGUGGGAGGCUUUGAUCCAUAGACGCCAGUUUAUGGUGAGCCAUUGUUGAGAUACCACUCUUUUUUAUUCUGAUAGCUAACUAGCUUGAGUUAUCCUCAAGUAGGACAAUGUCUGGUGGGUAGUUUGACUGGGGCGGUCGCCUCCCAAAAUGUAACGGAGGCUUACAAAGGUUGGCUCAGAACGGUUGGAAAUCGUUCGCAGAGUAUAAAGGCAAAAGCCAGCUUAACUGCGAGACAUACACGUCGAGCAGAGACGAAAGUCGGUCUUAGUGAUCCGGUGGUUCUGUGUGGAAGGGCCAUCGCUCAAAGGAUAAAAGGUACCCCGGGGAUAACAGGCUGAUCUCCCCCAAGAGCUCACAUCGACGGGGAGGUUUGGCACCUCGAUGUCGGCUCAUCGCAUCCUGGGGCUGGAGCAGGUCCCAAGGGUAUGGCUGUUCGCCAUUUAAAGCGGUACGCGAGCUGGGUUCAGAACGUCGUGAGACAGUUCGGUCCCUAUCUGCCGUGGGCGUAAGAAGAUUGAGGAGAGUUGACCCUAGUACGAGAGGACCGGGUUGAACCGACCACUGGUGUACCGGUUGUUCUGCCAAGAGCACCGCCGGGUAGCUAAGUCGGGAUGCGAUAAGAGCUGAAAGCAUCUAAGCUCGAAGCCGACUCCAAGAUGAAUCUUCUUUUAAGAGCUCUAGUAGACUACUAGUUUGAUAGGCCGGAUGUGUAAUGGAUGAAAGUCCUUUAGCUGACCGGUACUAAUAGCUCGUUUGCUUAUCUUU
rnacentral:rRNA from 1 species